UACGGAGGGUGCGAGCGUUGUCCGGAAUCAUUGGGCGUAAAGGGCGCGUAGGUGGCGGGACAAGCGUGCGGUGAAAGCCUGGGGCUCAACCCCGGGUCGGCCGUGCGAACUGUUUUGCUUGAGCACUGUAGAGGCAGGCGGAAUUCCGGGUGUAGCGGUGGAAUGCGUAGAGAUCCGGAGGAACACCAGCGGCGAAGGCGGCAUCCUGGACUGGUCCUGACGCUCAGGAGCGAAAGCGUGGGGAGCGAUCCGG
rnacentral:rRNA from 1 species